GUGGAACAGCCAAAGCUCUACAGGGUCAGCCCAGGCCUUCUCAGCACACCUUGACCUAAGCAAAACAAAUGACAAAAAGCCCACUGCUGAGGCACCAUUCAGAGUGUUGCAUUGCAAAUAAUCCCUGUCUGCAUUGGCGUAUUUGUUUACGGGACAAUGGAAAUUAAAGGGGAAAUCUUCUAUGGCUUCGGUCAGAGAUGACUAAGCAAGAAUUUCAUGAAGCAAGGAUUUGAUCAAGCAAGGAUUUCCAGUGUAUCUUCCAAGCAGAAAUGCUAAACACAGAGUUUGCAGAGUGUUGUCAUAACCAUCAAUAUUUUGCUUUAUUUACAACUGCCUGAGGGAUGAGAUGGUUUGUUCAUGAGUGUUUUCAUGCAUUCUGUUAUGACUCUAAUAUGGUGUCAUUCCAAGGGUGAUUAUGAGAGCUGCCCUGUUUGCAGAGGAAAUGAUCUAUACCUGGGAGUGGCUGAAAAACAAACCAGGCAUCUGACGAGCCAAGAAUGAUCCACAACUUAAAGCACUGUUGCCUCCAGAUUUCUUCAAUGAACCAAACUCUCCCUUUUUGCUUCCUGAGCCUCAGAUCGUAAUUGGCAAUAACUGCGACACCUUCUCAAAACACAAAAACUCAUCAACUGCCAGCUCCCUGCUAAUAAACUCAUCCAGAACAACUUAUUAAGA